UAAAUUUUCAUUCAAUAAAAGUUUAACACCUUUUGCGUAUGAUUUUAAGCAGUGGUGUAUAUAUUACUCCAUGUCGCCAGAUUAUAUUAUGUGAUCAUAGGGUCAAUUAAACACCCAAUGUAUGAACAAAGAUUUCGUAUUAUCUUUAUGUUUUUGAUCUAUUUUGGCGUUAAAAUAUUCAAAAACUUUGGGAAAAUAUUCAUCAAGCGAUAUUUGGAUGUGGCAUUGAGAAGAAGUCAUCAUUAUUCUCAAAAUUUUGCAUUCUGAUUUUAGAAAUGUAACAUACGAUACAAUAAUUUUUUUUAUGAAAGCAAAUAUUACCUCUUUUAUGAAAAUCUCGUAGUGUACAGAGAAUGAAAAUAUAAACAUUUCUUUUGCAGAAGUCAUUGGUUGGUCUGAAAUUUGACAAACGUGUCAAGAUGUAACAUUCGUGAUGUAACAUUCGUUACCGAGAAAUUAAUUAAAAGGAAUGAUAUCACAAUUUCCCGCGUAUUUUUGCUCUCUGUCUGCAUGAUGUGGUAUACGACAUGAAUGUCUACUAUGAACAUUUGAGUUCGAAAGUCAAUACGUGUUAAACUUUGAGAAUUAGGAUUAAUUUUCUCUUACGAAAUGGCGCUUGUGAGAGCAGAAGUACAGAAUAACUACCAUGAAAAAAAAUGCAUUAAAACAUAAGAACAACCAUGAAAAAAUGUUUUAGAAAUAAUAUUAUAUGCUCCCCUUGUGGCAAUACUGAAAAGGUAGAAUGUCUGUAUAGACAGUGAAAAUAAAGGUUUAACUACCGGUCAAAGGCUACCAUAAUGAUACAUGUAAGUUUUGUCUCUCAAAAUACUUAUAAGCAACUGGUCAUUUGAGUAAUUUUGUAUGACCUUUGACCUUGUGACUUGAAAUCCAAUGGGGGUCAUCUAUUCAUAAGGGGGCACCAGUGUUUCAAGUUUGAUGUCUAUCAAGGAAAGACUUCUCAACGGACAAUAGCGUAUGACCAGAGUAGUUUAACCGUUGUCCUUUUGACCUCAAAAUCAAUAGGGGACAUCUAUGUCUUAAGGUUCACGUUAAAUAUUCAUUCAUAACACCGCGUGGUGGAUUAUACUGACAGUUUCUAUGGAAAGGUAUUCCAAAAUAAGCAACAAAAACAUAAGAUUCGGUAUACAUUUAAUCAAAAUGUUGGGAAAUUAAACAUUUUCUUUAUAUCAUUAUUGUAAACAGAUUGUUAGAAAUGGGUAAAUAUGUUUCUUUCCAUUUUUUGAAUGGAAAUGAUGUGUUUACAGUAUUGAAAGGAAAAAUAAGAAACAUAGGUUACUUUCAUUGUUUAUUAUAACAAAGAGCAAUCCAGGUUUCAAAACAUGUGUCUGUUAUUUCUAUAAGAAUCAUGAGCAUUUGAAUAGCGAAACAUCAAUCUUUUACUUUUGUUUUAAUAGCAUAUUUAUUGCAAAUUAACAAAUUCAGAAGAAAAAACACAUUUGGUAAUUAUUUUUUUUUGCUUGUCUACGUUAUAUUUCUAUUAAAAUUGGUAUUUCCAUUGAAUUAAGUGAUGUCGUUAUGAUUUUGCAACAUCAAUUGUAAAGAAUAACUGAUGAUGACAUCGUUUUGGCAUAAUAUUUUCAUGGAUGUACUGUUGUGUAAGUGUUGAAACAUAUAUUCGUUACAUAAUUAUAGCGCUACUUCAUUUACAUACAUAAAAGCUAUCGUUCUAUAUCUAUUGCUAGUCUUUUGUUUUCAUGUUUCAUACAUAUUGAACUGUUCGAGAAUAUUUGUUAAUCAAUUUUAUUUUCUGCCAUUUCAAAGAUAUUGAAAGUGAUAUCUAGUCGUUUAUUUUGCUAUCUUAAAAUCUUAUUGCUGACUUUUACAGCAGAUAAUUUCUUGUUGUGUUGAUUAAAUAUUUUCUUUGAAAACCUGUAUUUAUUGUCUUUCGCAAAUUAGAAAAAUAUAUGCUCAGUCAAUUCCAAUACAAGUUAUGGAAUAAUACAUGGAAAAUUAAUGUUUAUCUUACAUAUUAUCAUGUCAAGGACUCGGUAACGAUGGUUACAUGUGAGAAAAAUCUCGAAAAAUAUACCAUACUUUGACCUACUGUAAAAAAAAAAAUCUGUCAUACUUAACUUGAAACAAUUUGAGGUGAGUGUUCAACAGAUAUUUACCAUUAAUAAAGGCAUGUUACCAUAUAUAUUUUGAAUGGUCGAUAAACCAUGAUUUUGAAACCCUCAAUUGCACGCUUUUAUUGACUUUGGGUGAGCAAGGUGUGCAGUGAAAAAAUGAGUGCGAUUUGCAAUAUCAUUUAUAAAGUUCUUCUAUGAAACACACUUUAUUUCAUAUGAGAAUGGUGAUACUGAUAAAUUUGAAGCUUUUUGGAACAGAUGGAACCAUUUUUUUUGUUUUGUUUUUUUGUUUAAGGACGCCCACUAAUAGUCAUGCAUGCAUACAUGUACAUGAUGUAAAGUCCCAUGUCCCAUAAUCCUUAGCACAUCAAUUAUCAUCAUGAACCAUAAAGUUCAUAGAUUUAAGCUUAUGCAUGUACACAGGUAACAAUACUAAUUAUUCUCUCUCUCUCUCUCUCUCUCUCUCUCUCUCUCUCUCUCUCUCUGAAAUAACUAAACACUUUUGUAAUUUUAUAUCAUAUUAUAAAGAUAUACUAUGAAAUAUAUAAAGAAUGUUGAAAAUGAUAAAUAUUUUUUUUAAAAUUGGAUUGAUCAGUAUAUACUCAUAUCAAGAAAACAGUUGUCAUCAUGAUUAUCAGAUAUUUAAUUGCAAUGGUAGUCUUGAUCUUUUAGCUGUCAAUAUUACUAACAAUCACGCCGUGUCUCGCUUUGCUUGGGAUGGUGGUGGGGUAUGGUUGGUAAAUUGGUCUUUGCUAUCGUAUAUAGAAAG